UGGCGGCGGCCUGGCGCUGGGGGAGGGGGGUGCUGACCCGGAUGUUCACUCCUGGGCACCCGGGGAAGUGGAAGCGCCGGGCCCUGCUGCGGGGGGGACAGCCACUGACGCCGGGACCGGGACCGCCGCCGCCGCCGCCACCAUGAGUGAUCAGCAGCUGGACUGUGCCUUGGACCUAAUGAGGCGCCUGCCUCCCCAGCAAAUCGAGAAAAACCUCAGCGACCUGAUCGACCUGGUUCCCAGUCUAUGUGAGGAUCUCCUGUCUUCUGUUGACCAGCCACUGAAAAUUGCCAGAGACAAGGUGGUGGGAAAGGAUUACCUUUUGUGUGACUACAACAGAGAUGGGGACUCCUAUAGGUCACCAUGGAGUAACAAGUAUGACCCUCCCUUGGAGGAUGGGGCCAUGCCGUCCGCUCGGCUGAGAAAGCUGGAGGUGGAAGCCAACAAUGCCUUUGACCAGUAUCGAGACCUGUAUUUUGAAGGCGGCGUCUCAUCUGUCUACCUCUGGGAUCUGGAUCAUGGCUUUGCUGGAGUGAUCCUCAUAAAGAAGGCUGGAGAUGGAUCAAAGAAGAUCAAAGGCUGCUGGGAUUCCAUCCACGUGGUAGAAGUGCAGGAGAAAUCCAGCGGUCGCACCGCCCAUUACAAGUUGACCUCCACGGUGAUGCUGUGGCUGCAGACCAACAAAUCUGGCUCUGGCACCAUGAACCUCGGAGGCAGCCUUACCAGACAGGUAGAGUUACCCGCUCGUAGCCACUUGCCAGUGCCCACAGGUACUGGCCUCAGCGCUGACCUGCAGAGAUGAGUGAGCAGGUGCCCCAUUUAGGGUAAGCAUGUUCAGCCAUCUAAAAUCCACCAUCUAAGUAGGGCUUCGCAUUUUCAAAUAAAAGCUCUCUGGGCUGUGCAAGGUUGCCCACAGCUGCUGGCACUCUGCUGGCCUCCUGUUGAGGGAGGCCAGGUGCUGGCCGUGGCUCCUCCUCACCCCUCACGGCCCCGCACAUCCCCAUGCUUCAGCUCAUGUUGUGCUGUGAGAAGUGGUGCUUGGCCCUGUUUGCCGUCUCUGUGGCCAUGCCCAGCCCAUCAGUCAGGCCAGCUCUCUGGGAGCAGCUUACCUGAGCUCAGAGUGUCUGCACCUUGCUGCCCUCAGUGUAGUCCAAGGACCAGCAUCAGCAUCACCAAAGAGCUUGUCAGAAAGGCAGAAAUAUCAGAUCCCACCCAGACCUAGCAUAUCAGGAUCUCUAUUUUCACAAAAUUGUCCAGGUAAUGUGUGCACAUUGAAAUUUAAGAAGUGCCCUACUGGAUACCUCUCUCUUAUCCAUCUUUUAUUUGGGUAUCACUAGCAAUCCUUCUCCACGACGUUGUUCCCAGGUUCUGUCUAAGGCAAACUUGGGCUUGGACUGGAAGAUACUGCCUCCCCUGAGCAAACUUGCCUGCUCUUCUACCUUAGAUGCUCCCAUAAGCAUCUAGGUGGGUUUAAGAACCUUGUAUAAAGGUCCAUGUUCAGGACCCUUUACAUUCCCAUCCCAAGAGAAGGCCUUGAUCUUGUGCCGGUGCAGUGCCACAAGAUGCUUGGUGUAAAGGGGGAAGAGAAAGCAUAGACCAAGCACAACUGGGUUUCACAAGGACCCCGCUUUGCCUUCGGAGAAGUCGGUAUUGACAGAAAUGGCACAGCCUUGAGAGCCUCAGCGGGGCGCCACUGUCUGCAAGGAUGCCCUUCCAUUCUCAGUUCCAGCAGUCCCUGACUGUCCACUGUGAGAAUUCCUUUUAACAUCAGAGAUCUCUUUCGGUAAGAUAAUUAUGCUCUCAAUAGCUGUGGAUAGAAAAAAUAUGACCGAAAGGAUCAAUGUAGUAAAGUUUUUUUUUUUUUUUUUUUUGAGACGGAGUCUCGCUCUGUCACCCAGGCUGGAGUACAUUGAGGUUGCAGUGAGCCAAGAUCGUGCCAUUGCACUCCAGCCUGGGCGACAGAGUGAGACUCCAUCUAAAAAAAAAAAAGGAAAGAUCAUUGUAGAGUAGAAACAAAAAACUAUUUUUACACACAGUUUUAUGCUCAAUAAAUAAUAACUUUUGUCAGGCGCGAUGGCUCAUGCCUGUAAUCCCAAUACUGGGAGGCCAAGGCGGGCAGAUCACUUGAGCUCGAGAGUUUGAGAACAGCCUGGGCAACAAAGUAAGAGCCCAUCUCUACAAAAAUUAGCCAGGUGAGGCAGCAUGUACCUGUAGUCCCAGCUACUCAGGAGGCUGAGGUAGGAGGAUGGCCUGAACCUGGGAGGCAGAGGUUGCAGUGAGCCCUGAUAACAACACUGUGCUCCAGCCUGGGCAACACAGCCAGACCCUGUCUCAAAAAUAAAAAUAAAAACAAUAAUUUUUACUGCUACUACCAUAUAUCUUGCAAGGAGAGGCUUUCUGAAUAUGUACAACUCUAGAUUCAAAAUUUUCCUAAACUGGGCAACCUAACUUUCCCUGGGAAGCCGUCUGACCACCAUCUUCUGGCCUGGCUGCACGCCGGGUCCUGACCUCCAAACCACAGCACAGUGUGGUGACCAGGAGGAUGCCAGAGGCCAGAGAGUCUUGGGGAUGGAGCUGUGCUUUGACAGUCGGUGAGAGCUGCCAUUCUGGCAGGCCCCGCUCUAGGCCUUUUGUGUACGUUUGUUUAUUUAGUGCCAGGUGAAGGCAAAGAAAUGGAGGCCUAGACAAGCCUAGGCCCUUUCCUCUCGGGCUGUAGCACAGGAGCUGUGGGGCCUCAGAGCUGGUGAGUGGGGCCCAUGCCUUAGGGCCACGCCCUCUGGGUCACACUAGAAGAUGCCGCGUGGCAGUGGGAGGUGUAAUAUAUCCCCUCUGCGGGAAAGGCUGCCAGCUUCCAAACGCUUGCCUGUGUUAGGGCCAUGGGGAGGAGGAGAGGUGCCUGCUGGGGACACACGGGCCAGGCUCCGGCUUCAGACGCCAUUGGAAGCACCUUGUGGAACAUCUGUGCAGCCACAGCACAUAAAAAUGUUUUCCUUCUGGCAGCCACUUUUAUAAGGAUGUAAUAAUAUAUGCAGUGCACAAAUGGUUCUAGUUUUGGUGGUUCGGUGUUGCCAGCGAGCUGACCCUGACCAGGUGUGGAGGGGAGUGAGCAGUGGCGGGCGAGGGGGCUGUGGAAAUAUGGCCGGGUGCGCGGAGCCCUGUGUCCCUCACUCCCCAAGCACCUUUCUCCUUCCCUCCCCAGCCACUGCGUGGCCAUUUACGUAGGCUCACCUUCCCUACCACGGACUGAGGGGGGCCUGUGUUCUGGGGGAUCAGUCUGCUCCUGGGGACAGUGCCGCACACUGCAAGACCCAGCCCUCUCCUCCACCCGACCUCUUCUACCUUUGGUGGCUGAGGGGUUUCGCCUGUUUGUUGUAAGAUGGCUCCUGAUUCUGAAACACAAAGAUGGUAACCAAGAGGCGAAAUUGCUGAUGUGACUGGACUUACCCAGGUGACCCAGGACCUUUGUCGAUGGCCGGGGCCUGUCUUUGGGCUGUUGGUGCCCAUUUAAAAUGGGGCCCACAGUGAGCUCAAAACCCUCAUCCCUUCCCUAGGGUGGCCGGGAAUCUGCCGUCCACAUGGAGCUGGGGAGGAGGAGAGACUCUGAUUUGCUGGAAGGACCUCAUCCAUUUCCGUCCAACCCCCAGGCUUCCCUGCCUGCAGAGCUGACGCCAGCCAGCCCUGAGCCUAGGCACAGUAACCACCUUCACGUCUGGGAGAACACACAGUCCCCGGGGGCCGGCAUGCAAAAGUUCUUUUUGAAGCUGGGUGGAUGGAGCCCCCUCCCUCCUGAGGGUGCUCCCCAGCUCCUGUUGAGCAGACAGCCCACCCCAUCGUCUUGGCACCAGGGUUUUGCUAGUGGCAGAUAAAGAUGAUGUUCCAGCAGACGCUCCAGUGCUGCCAAGGGUGGUGUGUUUAUUAGACCUGAAAUGAGAACUGUCACUCUCAAGUUCAUGGGCACUCUCACUACUCCUGUUUUAUGGAGACCCCCUGGAGUCUGAGGGUCAAGAUUCCUCAGGAUGACUCACCAGAGUGUGCCAAGACAGAUGGGAGCAGAGAAGCCGGUCUUUCUAGCAUUUCUCUCCCUCUUUUCCACUAGUCCUCAACAAAACAGUCUUGCCAGAACCAGAUGUCUGUUUUCUGCAGAUAUUUACUGUUAUGACUUGGGAGGCAGCAGGUUCUGGACUGUUGCCCUCACCUAGACCCCCUCCUUGUCAGAUGCCACCCGUUUUCUCAGACCCGUCGGUCUCCCAGACCACAUUGCUUUGUGAGCAGAUGCUUGUCAGGGACAGCUGUGUCAGAACAGACCAAGUCCAGCCUGGUGAGCCAUGAUGUUCUCUCACUGCUCGGUCCCCCCUCUGCCAUCUACAGCGACAUAGGUUGGGUCUGUUCCCCUGGCAGACAGCAGGCCUUCAGAUCCCUGCCAGAAUCUCUUGUGUCUCCCCUAGCACACACACAUCCCUCCCCACCCACCACCGCCAGGCCUGGAUAGCGCUAGUUCUUUCCCAUGUCUUGGUGUCAGGGCGUUCAGACCUUUUAAGCAGAUGAACUCUAACUCAUUCAAGGCUUUUAAAACCCAGUGCCUUAGCAGGGUACAGUGGCACGCACCUGUAGUUACAGCUGUGUGGGAGGAUUGCAGGAGUUCCUGUCUAGCCUGGGCAACAUAGCAAGACCUUGUCUCUUAAAAGAAAAUUUAAAAAAAAAAAAAAGUGCCCUAAACUGAAUCCAGCCCUGUAGAUGUAGCUGGGCCAGGACAGAACAGAGGGGAACCACUGCCUUCCCAAGCAAGCGAUGGAACCUGGCAGCUGCAGUGUCUUCAUCAUGUGAUGGGGUGGGAAUGCUGCACCUCAUCUGGGCACAAGGAAUAGUGUCAUUUAUGCACCUUAAAGUUGCACAAAAGCUUUCCUAGUAGUGACAUCUCAUCCUUGUCAAACUUGAAAUUAUCUAAAAACCACAAAUCUCUUCGUAGGAACUGUUUGCAGGUCAGCAGUUCCCCAUUUUGUACUGCAUGAAAUGCCCCCUUGAGCCUAAAUAUCUGGCUUGCAUUUGCCCCGGUACAUUGAACUGGUAUGGUGGUGAAGUAGGAAGAGCAAAGGCGUCAGAAUCUAACAGUGCUGUAUGAUUCUUGCUUCUUUAAGCUUUGGUUUCCUUGGGUUUAAAACAGGGUUGCUAGGAAGCUGAGAUGGAAAAAGGUGGCUGCCGCCUGGCUCCACUCCAAGUUGCUGCUCUCGUUCUGUAGCUAGCCCAGGUUUCCGGGUUCCGUAUUAACCUUGUGACCGUCUCAACCCUUGACAGAGUCGAUAGGAAGCUGGUCGUUCUCUCAGCUGGGCCUUAAGUCCUGGACAAACAAGUUGACCAAGGGCAGGCAGAGACUGCUACAGGGUGCCACAUAAUGUAUGCAGUGCACAAAUGCUUCUAUUUUUGGUGGGUCAGUAUUGCCAGCGAGCUGACCCUGACCAGAUGUGGAGGGGAGUGGGUGGGGGGCUGUGGAAAUGUGGCCCGGUCCCUACCCCUAUUGGCAGAGGCUCCAUCCUGCCCUUCCUCUCAGCCACAGGUGCAGGAUGGUAGACGGGAACUUGCCAGAAGGAUGCGACCCUAUUUAAGUAGUUGUGUUUUCUUCCAGCCCAGCAUCCCCACCAAAACAGGAAAAGAAGUGUUCUCGUGCAGAGCUUGUUCACAGUGAGCCUGGCUGGCUCCUCAUGAUCUCUGACUUUAAAAUGUGCCAGCAGAUGAUUUUAAUGAUCCCAUCAAAAAUUGUCUGGAUCAGUUUUGAGCUAGCAUUUCCUUGCAGAGGCCAUUCUUCCUUUUUUGACAAAAGUUGGGUCGGCCAGGUGCAGUAGCUCAUACCUGUAAUCCCAGCACUUUGGGAGGCCAAGGCAGGUGGAUCAACUGAGGUCAGAAGUUCAAGACCAGCCUGGCCAACAUGACAAAACCCUGUCUCUACUAAAAAUACAAAAAAAA